CGCUGGGAGCCGAGAGCCCGCACGUCGCAGGAGUGAUGGAGCUGCUGGGGAGCGAGGGACGGCGGGGGGGUCACACGCAGGGCUGCGGCGAGACACCCCCAGCCUUCACGUGGGCGGCUCCGAAGCGGGGAGAAAGGGGUCGAGAGCGGCAGCAAGAGUUCAGCAUCAGCGAGAUGAGAGCUUGGUCGAAAGGACACUCCCCAGCACCUUGUCAUCUGAUGAAGAUUGGCACAAGUCACCCAGAGAAGCGGCGGUGCCCCGUCCCUGCAGGCAGCCGAGCUCAGACCGGAUGGGCUGUGAGCACUGCUGGAGCUGUGUGUGUCCCU